UACGUAGGUGGCGAGCGUUGUUCGGAUUCAUUGGGCGUAAAGGGUGCGUAGGUGGCGCUGUAAGUCGGGUGUGAAAUUUCGGAGCUUAACUCCGAAACUGCAUUCGAUACUGCGGUGCUUGAGGACUGGAGAGGAGACUGGAAUUCAUGGUGUAGCAGUGAAAUGCGUAGAGAUCAUGAGGAAGACCAGUGGCGAAGGCGGGUCUCUGGACAGUUCCUGACACUGAGGCACGAAGGCCAGGGGAGCAAACGGG
rnacentral:rRNA from 1 species